AUGCAGCGACGCCGCGUGAGGGAUGACGGCCUUCGGGUUGUAAACCUCUUUCAGUAGGGAAGAAGCGAAAGUGACGGUACCUGCAGAAGAAGCGCCGGCUAACUACGUGCCAGCAGCCGCGGUAAUACGUAGGGCGCAAGCGUUAUCCGGAAUUAUUGGGCGUAAAGAGCUCGUAGGCGGUUUGUCGCGUCUGCCGUGAAAGUCCGGGGCUCAACUCCGGAUCUGCGGUGGGUACGGGCAGACUAGAGUGAUGUAGGGGAGACUGGAAUUCCUGGUGUAGCGGUGAAAUGCGCAGAUAUCAGGAGGAACACCGAUGGCGAAGGCAGGUCUCUGGGCAUUAACUGACGCUGAGGAGCGAAAGCAUGGGGAGCGAACAGGAUUAGAUACCCUGGUAGUCCAUGCCGUAAACGUUGGGCACUAGGUGUGGGGGACAUUCCACGUUUUCCGCGCCGUAGCUAACGCAUUAAGUGCCCCGCCUGGGGAGUACGGCCGCAAGGCUAAAACUCAAAGGAAUUGACGGGGGCCCGCACAAGCGGCGGAGCAUGCGGAUUAAUUCGAUGCAACGCGAAGAACCUUACCAAGGCUUGACAUGGGCCGGACCGGGCUGGAAACAGUCCUUCCCCUUUGGGGCCGGUUCACAGGUGGUGCAUGGUUGUCGUCAGCUCGUGUCGUGAGAUGUUGGGUUAAGUCCCGCAACGAGCGCAACCCUCGUUCCAUGUUGCCAGCGCGUAAUGGCGGGGACUCAUGGGAGACUGCCGGGGUCAACUCGGAGGAAGGUGGGGACGACGUCAAAUCAUCAUGCCC
rnacentral:rRNA from 1 species